AGGUCAGAGGCACAGCAGACGCGCCCCGACCAGGCGCCUUCUAAGCGCUUGGCCGCAGGUUCGAGUCCUGCCGGGG
rnacentral:tRNA from 1 species